CCUACGGGGGGCUGCAGUGGGGAAUAUUGCACAAUGGGGGAAACCCUGAUGCAGCGACGCCGCGUGAGCGAAGAAGUAUCUCGGUAUGUAAAGCUCUUUCAGUAGGGAAGAAAAUGACGGUACCUGUGUAAGAAGCUCCGGCUAAAUACGUGCCAGCAGCCGCGGCACUACGGAGGGAGCAAGCGUUAUCCGGAUUUACUGGGCGUAAAGGGAGCGUAGGCGGCCUGCCAAGUCUGAGGUGAAAUACCGGGGCUCAACCCCGGGGCUGCAUUGGAAACUGGCAGGCUGGAGUGCCGGAGAGGCAGGCGGAAUGCCUGGUGUAGCGGUGAAAUGCGUAGAUAUUAGGCGGAACACCAGUGGCGAAGGCAGCCUGCUGGACGGUGACUGACGCUGAGGCACGAAAGCGUGGGGAGCAAACAGGAUUAGAUACCCCAGUAGUC
rnacentral:rRNA from 1 species